AACCCCUGUGUAGCAACAGAUGUCUUGCAGCGGAGAUAAGAUGUGUUGCCGUCCGUCCCUCCUUUCAACCUCCUAGACCAAAAUGAAAAUAAACUACCCCCAAGCCAUCCCUGAUCUACGAGACCAAUUCCUUCUCUUGCGCAUAGGGUUCCAGCACCCCUCCCACAAUUCUCCUCCAUGUCAUUUUCGGUGGCGGUGGAUUGUUCGAUUCCUCAUCAGCCCUCCCCAACACCUGCUGUAGGGAGACUACCUUGAGGCCCGCAGAUCAUGGGCUCGCCACCGGAGUCUCCAUCGAGCCUGCGCUGCUGCCUUCCUCCAUGGGGGCUAGGUUCCAUGGAGAGCACAACGAUCUGCUCCCCUUAGCCAAUUCCGUCAGAUCCCGUGGCGAUGAGAAGAGGGGAGAUCGCUGCCGGAUCACCAGAUCGGAAGGAGGGAUAUCGCCUUCUCAUCCUGUCUGCACCAUCAUUCCCUUCCAAACGGCGCCCUCGCUGGGGGAGAAUUGAUCUAUGAAAUUUCGUGCAUCAAUUGUUUACUGAUAUCUUCAGAUUUGAUCAGGGCGCAGGUUCGACACUUCUGUCAUAUCUGAAUUGAGUUGAUUACCCAUCUGAAAGUGAGAUGUAACAGGAUUCUUAACAUGUGGGAGUUACAGCCUGAAUGAUUCCGCUGUAGAAGAUCUGACUUGAAGAGUUUCUGAGUACUCAGGUGUGAAAGUUCUGUUUAGUUUAAGUUUGUAUUAGAGUACACAUAUAUUCUUAUGCACUUGUCAUAUGAAUAAUAUGCGCCGACUGUCCAUAGAGAACUUGAUCAGCGUGGAGAACAGAUUGCAAGACACAUCAUGCAUAUGUUUUGUCGUACAAUUGAGGAUGUGGAGCACGAAGGAUCAUCUGGGUGGACGCAUUUCGUGAUAAAUUAGUCAUAUGUUCAAUUUCAGUUUUUUGUAUCCCUGUAUGCUAUCAACAACCACGUAAAGAUAAUCCUUGUAUUUGUCUAAUAAGAUCAUUUUUAAUUUUUUUAUCA